rnacentral:siRNA from 1 species
AAGCGAGUCAUUCUUCAGGGGA